rnacentral:rRNA from 1 species
CAGUAGCCACGGGAAUACGUAGGUGGCGAGCGUUGUCCGGAAUUAUUGGGCGUAAAGGGCUCGCAGGCGGUUUCUUAAGUCUGAUGUGAAAGCCCCCGGCUCAACCGGGGAGGGUCAUUGGAAACUGGGAAACUUGAGUGCAGAAGAGGAGAGUGGAAUUCCACGUGUAGCGGUGAAAUGCGUAGAGAUGUGGAGGAACACCAGUGGCGAAGGCGACUCUCUGGUCUGUAACUGACGCUGAGGAGCGAAAGCGUGGGGAGCGAACAGGAUUAGAUACCCGGGUAGUCCAUGUCUCUUAUAU